UUCACAAAUAGCAGUGUUGUUUGUUUUUAUGGUGUGUGUGUGUGUCUAUUAUUGGGACUUGGGCCACGUAUUGGAGUGAGAUUGUGAUUGUGAGGCUUUGAUUUAGUAUUUUAGUUCCCUCCCUGGGCUGUCGAUCUGGGUCUUGACGACUCGUCAAACGCACUCCCUGGCAUCGUUUCCAGCCCCGGACUAAUUUCCAGAUCUGCUCGUUCAUGUUGUCAGCUGGAUCUUUCGGUUCUCGUAAGUAACCAAGAAACUGCAUCAAGCACCUGACCAUACGAAGGUGGUGGGAGAUUUAGACUGGACAGUCAAAUAGCUUAUUAGUCAAGUGGAAGACUGAAUGGGAUUGAGUGAAGAAGCUAUUAAGGAUCUGCAGAAGUGUUCACAAGCCACCUGGUCGCAAAUCAAAGAAGAUUGACAGAAGAUUUGUUCAAAUACAUUAACAACGUCGAAAGUAGCGUACUUCAAGAGAAAAUAUGCAGAAGAAGAAGAUUUGCAUAAAGUUUACAAUGGGUACUUUCCAAAAAACCUGAUCUUUCCAGAAGAUCGAACAUGUAUUCUAAGGCUUUCACUAGAAAAACUAAG